GCGCUGCCUUUGCGCCCCUGUCGCACCUGCGCGGGGCACCGGGGGUUAAGCUGCAGCUCCAGAGCACGUGCUUGCGCAUAUCUGGGGCCACCUGACCCUAUCGGCGCAUCUUUAGCUGCACGUGACAGGG
rnacentral:snoRNA from 1 species